rnacentral:tRNA from 1 species
GCGGGAGUGGUGUAACGGCAACACGCUUCUUUGCCAUAGAAGAAAGUGCGGGUUCAAAUCCCGUCUCCCGCU